rnacentral:rRNA from 1 species
GAUUUCUGGCUUGAAACAUUUUGCCGGCCACGGUUUCGUGUGUUAGUGCUUGAUGUUCUGGCCAUCCUUCCAAUUGCUAUUCACUUCUCUUCAUUGAUUGGUGAGUGGUAUUGGAUCUUUUACUUUGAAAAAAUUAGAGUGUUUCAAGCAGGCUUUAUGCUAUGAAUACAUUAGCAUGGAAUAAUAAUUUAGGACUUCGGUUCUAUUUUGUUGGUUUCUAGGACUGAAGUAAUGAUUGAUAGGGAUAGUUGGGGGUGCUAGUAUUCAGCGGCCAGAGGUGAAAUUCUCGGAUUCGCUGAAGACUAACUUAUGCGAAAGCAUU